UACGUAGGGUGCGAGCGUUGUCCGGAAUUACUGGGCGUAAAGAGCUCGUAGGUGGUUUGUCGCGUUGUUCGUGAAAUCUCACGACUUAACUGUGAGCGUGCGGGCGAUACGGGCAGACUGGAGUACUGCAGGGGAGACUGGAAUUCCUGGUGUAGCGGUGGAAUGCGCAGAUAUCAGGAGGAACACCGGUGGCGAAGGCGGGUCUCUGGGCAGUAACUGACGCUGAGGAGCGAAAGCGUGGGGAGCGAACAGG
rnacentral:rRNA from 1 species